GACGAACGCUGGCGGCGUGCUUAAAACAUGCAAGUCGAACGGACUUCUCAUGAAGCUUGCGAUUGAGAAGUUAGUGGCGGACGGGUGAGUAACGCGUGGGCAACCUGCCCCUGAGCCCGGGAUAACAGUUCGAAAGGACUGCUAAGACCGGAUAUACUUGCGGUGAAGCAUUUCACUGCAAGGAAAGGGAACGCUCAGGGAUGGGCCCGCGUCCCAUUAGCUAGUUGGUGAGGUAACGGCCCACCAAGGCGACGAUGGGUAGCCGGUCUGAGAGGGUGAACGGCCACACUGGGACUGAGACACGGCCCAGACUCCUACGGGAGGCAGCAGUUGGGAAUCUUCGGCAAUGGGCGCAAGCCUGACCGAGCAACGCCGCGUGAGUGAUGAAGGUUUUCGGAUUGUAAAGCUCUGUCUUCCGGGACGAUAAUGACGGUACCGGAGGAGGAAGCCACGGCUAACUACGUG
rnacentral:rRNA from 1 species